rnacentral:rRNA from 1 species
GGUUGAUCCUGCCAGUAGUCAUAUGCUUGUCUCAAAGAUUAAGCCAUGCAUGUCCAAGUAUAAACGUUAUACGGUGAAACUGCAGAUGGCUCAUUACAUCAGUUAUAAUUCAUUUGAUGAUCGAGUAACUACAUGGAUACCCGUAGUAAUUCUAGAGCUAAUACAUGCGAAGAGCCCCGACUCGUGAGGGGAGGGGUGUAUUUAUUAGAUACAAAACCAACAGCCCUCGCAAGGGGGUUGAUUGGCGAGGAAUCGUAGUAACUGUUCGGAGCGCAUGACCUUGCGUCGGCG